rnacentral:misc_RNA from 1 species
GAUGAAGAACGCAGCGAAAUGCGAUACGUAAUGUGAAUUGCAGAAUUCAGUGAAUCAUCGAAUCUUUGAACGCAUAUUGCGCUCUCUGGUAUUCCGGAGAGCAUGCUUGUUUGAGUAUCAGUAAACACCUCAACUCCCUUUUCUUUUUUGAAAUUGGAGCUGGACUUGAGUGAUCCCAACGCUUUCUUCCAAGAAAGUGGCGGGUUGCUUGAAAUGCAGGUGCAGCUGAACUUUUCUCUGAGCUAUAAGCAUAUCUAUUUAGUCUGCCUAAAAAACAGAUUAUUACCUGUGCUGCAGCUAACAUAAAGGAGACUAGUUCUUGUGCUGACUGAUGCAGGAUUCACAGAGACAGCUUCGGCUGACUUUGUAAACUCGAUCUCAAAUCAAGUAAGACUACCCGCUGAACUUAAGCAUAUCAAUAAGCGGAGGA